AGUCGACGAGACCUUCGGGUCUAGUGGCGCACGGGUGCGUAACGCGUGGGAAUCUGCCCUUGGGUUCGGAACAACAGUUGGAAACGACUGCUAAUACCGGAUGAUGACUUCGGUCCAAAGAUUUAUCGCCCAAGGAUGAGCCCGCGUAGGAUUAGCUUGUUGGUGAGGUAAAAGCUCACCAAGGCGACGAUCCUUAGCUGGUCUGAGAGGAUGAUCAGCCACACUGGGACUGAGACACGGCCCAGACUCCUACGGGAGGCAGCAGUGGGGAAUAUUGGACAAUGGGCGAAAGCCUGAUCCAGCAAUGCCGCGCGAGUGAUGAAGGCCUUAGGGUUGUAAAGCUCUUUUACCCGGGAUGAUAAUGACAGUACCGGGAGAAUAAGCCCCGGCUAACUCCGUGCCAGCAGCCGCGGUAAUACGGAGGGGGCUAGCGUUGUUCGGAAUUACU
rnacentral:rRNA from 1 species